AUUUUGAUGGCUGAUAAAGGCAGUAAAUUGUAAAUUUAUGUAUGGGUAUACCUCAGAUUU
rnacentral:tRNA from 1 species